rnacentral:pre_miRNA from 1 species
UUCCAUGUGUGAGCAAAGAAAGUAGUCUCUUGAGAUGGAAACUACUCUUGGUGAAUAUUCUGUGAA